rnacentral:tRNA from 1 species
GUGCGUGUAGCUCAGCUGGAUAGAGCGUCUGGCUACGGACCAGAAGGUCGUGGGUUCGAAUCCUGUCACGCACACUA